rnacentral:rRNA from 1 species
CAUGUAGGCGGAUUGGAAAGUUAGGUGUGAAAGCCCGGGGCUCACCCCGGAAUGGCAUCUAAAACUCCCAGCCUAGAGGAUGGACGGAGAAAGGGGAAUUCCACGUGUAGCGGUGAAAUGCGUAGAUAUGUGGAAGGACACCAGUGGCGAAGGCGCCUUUCUAGUUUAUUCCUGACGCUGAGAUGCGAAAGCAAGGGGAGCAAACA